AGAACAUUCAGUUUGGAGUCACAGGUCUUGGAUUCUAAUCCUGAGUGGGUGGAUAAGGUUCAUUCACAAGUCUUAAUGUAUCAUUUUUAUUACUUUUAAAGUGCAGAGGUAGACAAAAUGCCUUUUAAAACUCUUUCCAGCUCUAUUAUUCUCAGAAUCUGUAGGGUUCAGGAUUAACCAGUUUAAAGAGGAGACAUAAAUUUGAGUCCUGCCUCAGGCACUAAUUUGAUUAUAUCACCCAAAGUAACUCAGAUAACUCCUCAGGGCUUCAUUUGUAAAAUGAGGGAGUUUGGAAUAGAUGAGUUAUUCUGUCCCUUUCAAGGCUAAAAUUCUGUAAUUCUCUGAAGAUUAAAAAAAUAUCUAAAUGACAAUCUUGUUAGUUCAAGUGGAGUGCCUGAAUAUUCACUAAGAAAUUAAGACUGGGUUCUGAAGUUUCAGCCUCUGCACACUUGUCACAUCUCAUAAACCUACACUGUCCUGACUGCGUUCAUUCCUCUGCCAACUGGCAGGCCCCAAGCAUCACAUUUCUACUUCAGUGCUUAGCUUGUUUUGUUUCUUGAAGCUGCACAGAUGAAACCUGAAACCCUUAGCAUGGAGCAUGAAGUCAACACACUCCAGCGUUUCUAGAACUAAGAGGAGAAUUAAAAAAAAAAAAAAAAAAAAAAAAAAAAAAGCCUACCUUCCAAGGGACCCAUAUGGCUUUAUUGAGAUAUAUUUGUAAUUUUUAAAAAAUGGAAAUUCCCUCCUGGUAGCCCAGAUUUGCACUGGGAAAAUUCAAUUGCAGUAAGUUAUCCUUUGAAGUUGGGUGAUUCUUCCUCACUUAUUCGCUGGCAAGACUAAAAGAAAAGAACCCUUCCUCCUGAGAUUGGAUCCCAGGAAUUCCACUCUUCUUCAAAAUGAAGUAACCCAAAAUCGGCAACAAGCACAUCAAUGACAUUGUAGUGUAUCGUUACAGAAAUAACGAAGAACAAAUGCUUACCAGAUUUAUAGAAUUGGAAGGAUUGAUGUGAUGCAUCAAUAGCAACAGAGACUGGACCC